GUCUUCCGCGGGGGGAAGAGGAGCGAGCCCCGAGACCCCCCCGUCGGGGUGGCGGCCCCGUCUCUCUUCAGAUGAGGACCGUGGUGCAAGGAGAAUUCGCCCCGUGCUGCCAGGGGUGUCGAGGGGCACGCCGAGGCCCUCCCGAGUUUCAGCACCCUGCUUUGGUCGUUACAGCGGUUACCUCUCUGCGCAGGCAGAUGAUAUUAAGUCACACCACCUCCCGAAGGAGAAAUCCAAUGCUUCAAAGGAAAUAAAAGAAGCAGCGCUCGGCAUUAGUAUACAAGAGCUGCUCGCUCGGCAUUAGUAUACAAGAGCUGCUAUGGUUUUCCCUCUAAGAAGAAAAAGUAUCCUUUGGUAAAACCGCGAUUUGGGAGAGGGAACAGAAAUCCUGUACAACGACUCAGGUAAUUCCUAGUAUGCUACGUGCUCUCUGGACCAUGGAACAUUGAGCUCACAGAUCUACCAUAAUCCCACCAUUUUGUUCCUGAGAAGCAGGAGUCUAUAACCACAAAAAUAUUUCAUGAUCAAAACAAACCAGACUUCAGUAUGAACACCUUUUGACUGAGCUAUAGAGUUCUUCCCAAAGAAGGACCGGAAGAACUCCCAAGCCUCAGAUGCAGGGUGGAGGGAAGACAGAAAAACCGCCAGAAGGUCACUCUGCAGCCUCUCCUUUUGGUCUUUCCAACCUUGAUGACAGAAGCCACAACAUAUGGAGCAUUUGAAGGGAUACACUCCUCCAUGAGCAAUAAAAGCAAUGGUUGUACCAAGGCAAGAUCUAGCCACUGCAGGAAAACAAACAAACAAACAAAAGGCAUUAGGGCAGAAAAGCUGGCAGAAAACAUCAAACUGAGGGGAAGGACAGGGAAAAUGACCAAGAAGCUUUCACUAGCAUGCAAAAAAA
rnacentral:lncRNA from 1 species